rfam:Taenia asiatica genome assembly, scaffold: TASK_contig0009750
CAAAACGACGUCAUUUUCAACUACAUCCAGAGGGGUUGGAAGCUCAUACAAUCCACUCUGAAGGAAUCCUUUCGAUGAAAAAUGGGAUACACGGACACUGAGUAUGGCAAUCAGUCAAUAUAAUCCAUAGAGGGUGAGAGGCUUGUAGCAGAAGCAGGAGUGGAGGCUCAGACAUGCGAGGUGGUUCACCAGGUCGGCCUUAGAGCGAAACUGUUUAAGAUUGCAGCCCAAAGUGGGUGGUAAACUCUAUCCAAUGCUAAAUACGGGCACGAGUCUGAUAGCGUACAAGUUUCGUGAGUUAAAGUUAAAAAGCACUCUGAAGAGAGAGUGAAGAGUACAUGAAACCGCAUGCACGUAAAUAAGUGGCGUCAAGCUGCUGGCCUGGAAGAGUCCACCGGCUGGAGUGGUUGUGUGCGUGCGUGGGUGGCAGUCCGCUUUUUGCAGUGGGGUGGUGCAAGACUGCGGCGAAUGCGGCAGUCGGUGCAGUACGUGCCGGGUGGGUGCCGGAGCAUGCCGCUGGUUUGUUUGUGGGCCUUUUAGUCGGUGUAUUUUCUCUGUGGCGAACAUCACGACCGGUAGAAUUGCCAGUCUGCUGCGGUCGAGUCGUGUCCUCCUGGUUGUUGAUCUACCGCACUCGUUGUUGUCGUCGUGAUGGCGAGAUUGGUGGUGAUGGCAAACGGUAGGCAUGGUGAGAGUUGAGGCGGUUAG